UACGUAGGGCGCGAGCGUUGUCCGGAAUUAUUGGGCGUAAAGAGCUCGUAGGCGGCUUGUCACGUCGGGUGUGAAAGACCGGGGCUUAACUCCGGUUCUGCAUUCGAUACGGGCUAGCUAGAGUGUGGUAGGGGAGAUCGGAAUUCCUGGUGUAGCGGUGAAAUGCGCAGAUAUCAGGAGGAACACCGGUGGCGAAGGCGGAUCUCUGGGCCAGUACUGACGCUGAGGAGCGAAAGCGUGGGUAGCAAACAGG
rnacentral:rRNA from 1 species